GAUGAACGCUGGCGGCGUGCUUAACACAUGCAAGUCGAACGAUGAAGCCCAGCUUGCUGGGUGGAUUAGUGGCGAACGGGUGAGUAACACGUGAGUAACCUGCCCUUGACUCUGGGAUAAGCCCGGGAAACUGGGUCUAAUACCGGAUAGGAGCGCCUGUCGCAUGACGGGUGUUGGAAAGAUUUUUCGGUCAUGGAUGGACUCGCGGCCUAUCAGCUUGUUGGUGAGGUAAUGGCUCACCAAGGCGACGACGGGUAGCCGGCCUGAGAGGGCGACCGGCCACACUGGGACUGAGACACGGCCCAGACUCCUACGGGAGGCAGCAGUGGGGAAUAUUGCACAAUGGGCGGAAGCCUGAUGCAGCGACGCCGCGUGAGGGAUGACGGCCUUCGGGUUGUAAACCUCUUUCAGUAGGGAAGAAGCGAAAGUGACGUACCUGCAG
rnacentral:rRNA from 1 species